rnacentral:rRNA from 1 species
CCCUUAGAUGUUCUGGUCCGCACGCGCGCUACACUGAUGCAUUCAACGAGUUUCUUCCUGGUCCGAGAGGAAUGGGUAACCUUUUGAAAGUGCAUCGUGAUAGGGAUAGACUAUUGCAAUUAUUGGUCUUCAACGAGGAAUUCCUAGUAGACGUAGUUCAUCAGACUGCAUCGAUUACGUCCCUGCCCUUUGUACACACCGCCCGUCGCUCCUACCGAUUGAAUGCUCAGGUGAGCCAUUCGGACUUUCAUCAUGCUGGUUUCCAGUUUUGAUGAAGGAAAGUCUUGCGAACCUUAUCAUUUAGAGGAAGGAGAAGUCGUAACA